UACGAAGGGGGCUAGCGUUGCUCGGAAUCACUGGGCGUAAAGGGCGCGUAGGCGGCCAUUCAAGUCGGGGGUGAAAGCCUGUGGCUCAACCACAGAAUUGCCUUCGAUACUGUUUGGCUUGAGUUUGGUAGAGGUUGGUGGAACUGCGAGUGUAGAGGUGAAAUUCGUAGAUAUUGCAAGAACACCAGUGGCGAAGGCGGCCAACUGGACCAAUACUGACGCUGGGGGUG
rnacentral:rRNA from 1 species